rnacentral:rRNA from 1 species
UACGUAGGGGGCAAGCGUUGUCCGGAAUCAUUGGGCGUAAAGAGCGUGUAGGCGGCCCGAUAAGUCCGCUGUGAAAGUCCAGGGCUCAACCCUGGGAUGCCGGUGGAUACUGUCGGGCUCGAGUCCGGAAGAGGAGUGUGGAAUCCUGGUGUAGCGGUGAAAUGCGCAGACUAUCAGGAGGAACACCGGUGGCGGAAGGCGGGUCUCUGGGCCGAUACUGACGCUGGAGGAGCGAAAGCGUGGGGAGCGAACAGG